rnacentral:lncRNA from 1 species
AAAGUGCUGGGAUUACAGGCAUGAGCCACCACGCCUGGCCGAUAGCACCCAAACUCUUAAGACUGUGAUGAUUAUCUUUGUCAUGUGUUAGAGUUUCCUGGUAUGACACAAGCUGACAAUAGAAUGCUGUUUACAGCUUUGGGCCCUGAAUUCCAUUUCAACAUGGAAUUCUCCUUUCCACUUGCAGGUGGCGGGUAGAAUCAAGCUUUAGUAUGGCUGGUUACGGGAGCAGCUAUAUCAGCCACUACUUCAUCAUUCUUUGCAGGCACAUGGGAUGGGGAAGAGUCUACUCAAUGUGCCAGGACCCCAGAAUCUCUGUCCCUAACUGCCCCUUCUUUUUUGAGCAAGAACUUUGACCAUUGGCUGGUUCAGACAGAAAAAGCUUCAACAGCCUCUAGCAGCUGCCUAGGCCAGGCUCCAUUCCACAAACCUACAGUAUUGAACGUAUCACCACCACUACCCCUGUCCUCCAUACCCAGCUAUGGGAGACCUUGUUGGUGUCUCCCUCUCUGACCAUGGCAAGGGAAUUGCUCCUAGCUGGCCAUUGCCAAAAACUGCUGUGCUUUAGGGUGUGAAAGGAAAAUAAAUCUUGGGAUCCCAAAACUACUAAGCCAAAGGAAAAAGUCAAGCUGGGAACUGUUAGGCAAACCCACCUCUCAUUCUAUUCCUACAAAGAUUAAAAAGCUACAUAUGGCCAGGCACAGUGGCUCACACCUAUAAUCCCAGCCCUUUGCAAGGCUGAGGCAGGUGGAUCACCUGAGGUCAGGAGUUCGAGACCAGCCUGGCCAACAUGGUGAAACCCCGUCUCUACUAAAAAUACAAAAAUUAGCCGGACGUGGUGGCGGGCACCUGUAAUCCCAGCUACUUGGGAGGCUGAGGCAGGGAGAAUUGCUUGAACCUGGUAGGUGAAGUGAGCCAAGAUCAUGCCAGGGCACUCCAGCCUGGGCAAGAGAGGGAGACUCUGUCUCAAACAAAUAAAAAAAAAACAAAACUGCCUACCUCUCUCACAAUUUGCCCACAAGGAAAUUCCUUGUGAAUAAAGGACAAACAGAACUCAAAGUCAUCCCUCUGCUCACAUGAGACAAAUGCAUAUCUGAUUGCUUCCUUUGCCCUAUUGUUUCACUAAGCCAGACUAAGGCAUAAGUGACUAUACCUCUAUGCUCCUCUCAUGAGUUAAUUGUAUAUUCAGUGAAAGGCUAAUCAGAAACUCAAAAGAAUGCAAUCGUUUGUCUCUUACCUACCUAUGACCUGGAAGCCCCCUCCCCGCUUCGAGUUGUCCUGCCUUUCUGGACUGAACCAACAUACAUCUUACAUAAUCGAUUAAUAUCUCAUGUCUCCCUAAAAUGUAUAAAACCAAGCUGCGCCCCGACCACGUUGGGCACAUGUUGUCAGGACCUCCUGAGGCUGUGUCAUGGGUGCGUCCUUAACCUUGGC